UCGAGCGGUACAGAGAGUAGCUUGCUACUUUGCUGACGAGCGGCGGACGGGUGAGUAAUGCUUGGGAACAUGCCUUGAGGUGGGGGACAACAGUUGGAAACGACUGCUAUACCGCAUAAUGUCUACGGACCAAAGGGGGCUUCGGCUCUCGCCUUUAGAUUGGCCCAAGUGGGAUUAGCUAGUUGGUGAGGUAAUGGCUCACCAAGGCGACGAUCCCUAGCUGGUUUGAGAGGAUGAUCAGCCACACUGGGACUGAGACACGGCCCAGACUCCUACGGGAGGCAGCAGUGGGGAAUAUUGCACAAUGGGCGCAAGCCUGAUGCAGCCAUGCCGCGUGUGUGAAGAAGGCCUUCGGGUUGUAAAGCACUUUCAGUCAGGAGGAAAGGUUAACGGUUAAUACCCGUNNGCUGUGACGUUACUGACAGAAGAAGCACCGGCUAACUCCGUGCCAGCAGCCGCGGUAAUACGGAGGGUGCGAGCGUUAAUCGGAAUUACUGGGCGUAAAGCGUACGCAGGCGGUUUGUUAAGCGAGAUGUGAAAGCCCUGGGCUCAACCUGGGAACUGCAUUUCGAACUGGCAAACUAGAGUGUGAUAGAGGGUGGUAGAAUUUCAGGUGUAGCGGUGAAAUGCGUAGAGAUCUGAAGGAAUACCGAUGGCGAAGGCAGCCACCUGGGUCAACACUGACGCUCAUGUACGAAAGCGUGGGGAGCAAACGGGAUUAGAUACCCCGGUAGUCCACGCCGUAAACGAUGUCUACUAGAAGCUCGGGUCCUCGGACUUGUUUUUCAAAGCUAACGCAUUAAGUAGACCGCCUGGGGAGUACGGCCGCAAGGUUAAAACUCAAAUGAAUUGACGGGGGCCCGCACAAGCGGUGGAGCAUGUGGUUUAAUUCGAUGCAACGCGAAAAAC
rnacentral:rRNA from 1 species